UAAAGUCAGCGCUGUGGAGAGAGCUGGUCAAGAUCAGUGAUGUUUGGGCGCAGACAGAAAGUGUGGGGUCUGUCCUGCAGGAUGUGAAUGUGUGCUGGGCAAGGCAGUUCCAGCCUGUGUCUGUGUUGCAGUGUAGUUUAUGUAGUCUGUGUUCUGUUCCUAUGCCUUACCUUCUGCAGGUCUUGAUGACCCCAUUGCUCUUUGUGCUCGGUGAGCUCAGCACGCACCUCAGUAUGCAUCCAUAGGGUCUUGAACGCCUUGCCUCGUUGGCGUAGUGCCAGUCAAGCACUUCUUGUCUUGCACUUGAAGCUUAAAGUGUGGAUCUGUCUUGUGUGUUUUGCCUCAUAGAUGUUUCUGGACGGUCAUCUUUGCAGCAGUGAUCCAGGCUGCAUCAGUAGCUCUUCUCUUGUGAGUUCUGUUUCUGUGGGACCUUCUUCUGGGGGUUUCUUCCCCAUGUCCUUACGUGGAUCUUGGAUCUUGGCGCCCAGCUUCUCACACAUCCAUCAUCCCCGGUUUGAUGGCAGCUUUCUGCCAUGGGCUGUAGCAUUUGACUCUUCUCUGGAGCUGCCAUAGAGCAUCAGUACUGUGCUGUCACGGAACUGCAGGUCUUCUUUGCCAUUGACGUUUUCCCCCUGGGAGUCAUUCUUCUUGUGUGUGGUCUUCUCGCAUCUUUUGGUCACAUUGUAGUGUCUGUGUGCAGCAUUGGUCUGUGUGUGUGUUUGGGUUGGAGCUGUCCUGUCUGGUGGUGUAGCAACAGUACUGUGAGGGGCAGUGUAGCAGUACCAUGCUGCACAUGCUCUGUGUUGAUCUGUCCAGUUUUUUUUGCAUUGGACCAUAUGGUCCAUCUCUGGGUGAGUGGCCAGCAGCAGCCGCGUGACUUGUUUUAUAUUGUUUCUAUUUCAGAUGCAGAGUGACAAGCUGCGUGUCAAAGGGCAAUGGAGGAGGCCAGUGGAGUGCUGUAAGAAGGUGUGAAGCUACAUGUAAAGCAAGCUGCCUGCACUGGAGCUCACUCAGGCAAGAGGCAGCACUGAGGACUCAGUUGUCGGUUCCUCUCCAGGGAUGUUGUUGACUGCCUCUGGCUCAGUUUUGUGUGGGUUGCCUUUGGUCUCAUUCUCCUAAUGGCAUGGGUGAAAAGGGACAGCUGGAGCACUUACUGGCUGUGGACAGGAGCUGCAGUGGCUGAAGCUGGAGAGACCAGAAAAAGGUAAAGCAGCUGAAGAAUAAAAUGAAAGGGAUUUGGCCAGCAGCUGCCUCCAGCUGCAGACAGGAGACAGCCUGCCUCUCCAGGCGAGGAAGGAUCCCUCUUAGUGUAGUCCUCAGAAGAUCUGAUCACUCAUGUCCAUGGCAGGGUCUGUACGCAUAACCAGAAGCACAGUAUGGGCAUGUAGUGUGUGCGCAUGUGAGGCUGCGUACCUAGGAAGCCUCAUAUUGUAAGAGCUGUAAGACACCAAUCUAUUCUCUUAGGUGGAUGACAGUCAAGCGACCAGACCUACAGAGGAGGAAGGGAGGGGGGGCGGAGAUUGAGAGAGAGGGAGAGAAGGAUGCAUCUGAACUGUCAAAUUCUCCCAGCAGCUCCAAGAGCGGGAGCUGCGGUGAGUCCUGGACCCCUGGGGCUGUGUUGCCCCUCUUCUGCAUCCUCGUCCCCUCCCUUCUCUUUCUCUCACUGCUGUCAUUUUUUUCACUUCCCUGCACCUCUUCCUCUCCCGUUUGCCAAGUCCCCCUCUUUCUCUGUCAUUCUACCUCUCUGUUUUCUUUUUCUCUCUGCACUUCUGUCCCAUUCCCCGUCCCUCUUUUUUUUGUCCUCUGUCUCUUUCCUGCAGUCCGUCAUUAUAUUUGUCUUUCUCCAUCUCUCUGUCUGUCUUCCUAUCCCCCUUUUUUUUAAUUUCUCCCCAUCUGCCCUUUAGCCCUUCACAAUUCCCACUGCCCUCACCUCUCUGUCUGGGGCUGUGUCUCUAUUUUUAAAUUCCUCUCUCUCUGCCCUGUAUUCUAGAUAUACUUUUUCAUUCUUAGAUUUUCUUGUUCCAGGUCCCUGUCCCUAUGUUUUAAUUUCUUCCCUCUCUGUGCCACAGCCUAUUUUUGUCCUUGUUGUUCUCUCUGUCUGGCUCCCUGUCCCUAUUCUUCAAUUCCUCUGUCUCUCCCCUUCAGCUCACUGAGGUUUUUUGGUAUUUCUCAGUUGGUCUCUGUCUACCUCACUGUCCCCUUUUCCAAUUCCUCUCUGCCCCGUGGCCCAUCACUAAUCUUUGUUUUUCUCCAUCUCAGUCUGGUUCCCUAUCAAUUCCUCCUCUCUGGCCUGUAGCCCAUCACUAUUUCCUUCAUGCCCCUCCCUCUGUGUCUCCCUUUCCCUAUUUUUCAACCCCCCCUCUGCCCUGUAGCCAAUCGCUGUUGUAGUGGGUUUGUGUGGCAAGGUUUUGCUAGCUGGGCUGGGGUGUGCAGGGGCUGCAGGGGUGGGUUCUGUGAGAAGACACCAGGACUUGCCCCCGUGUUGGACAAAGCCAGUUCCAGCUCCAAGAAGGAUUUGCUGCUGGUCAAAGCUGAGCCAACUAGCAACGCUGGUAGUGCCUCUGUGAUGACAUAUUUAAGAAGUCCUAAAAAAAAUGCUGUGCAGAAGCUGUGAUAGAGAAAAUGUGAGUGUGAAACAGCCCUGCAGACCCCCAGGUCAGUGAAGAAGGAGGGGGAGGAGGUGCUGCAGGCACCAGAGCAGAGAUUCCCCUGCAGCCCAUGGGGAAGA